GGUUUUGGCUGGUGGUGCGCCACCUAUAAAAGAAGCAUCAUUGAUUUCAAUUACUACAGUUGGCAUUACCUAUUACCACCCACAGAACACCAUUGCUGUUAUCAUGUUCAGUUUGAUAAAGGGUCCAUACACUUCAAGUUACCCCCAAAAUGUGGGUCAUGUUGACCAUGGCACAAUUAAGGAGGAGAAAUAUAAGACCUCAUGCAAUUGCAUUUACCUUUCAGAUUUGCCCCCUGAUUAAAUACAGAAUGAAUACGAUGAGAAACAUGGGACCUUCAAGAGAAGAGCAAUAUUUUGAUAAGUUUAAUAAGGAUGCCUCAAGGUCUUGAAAUGUCAUACUUAUUCUGAACAGACCAUAAGAGUCAGAUUAUAGAACAAUGCAUUUACAGAAGUUCAGCAUGAAGGAAUCCAACUUUUAUCUCAUGGGAGGGUAUUUAAAAUUUUUUACAUAUCUGGUCAAAUACAGUUUAUUUAUAAAUAGAAAGCCACAUGCUCAUGUUUUGCAAAUCCAAUUGCCCUUCAAAUGCUUACUGUUCAUUGA
rnacentral:misc_RNA from 1 species